GGUUUAUCGCAGGAUUAGCUCAGUGGAAGAGCGAAACGUUUACACCGUUUAGGUCGGGAGUUCGAACCUCAUUGUUUUCAACCG